CUCCUGAAGAGCCUGUAACCAUCCAACAGGGCACUCCAAUCACAGGACUUAUCCCACCAGGUUUCACUUAUGCCAGUGAUGUCAAAUUCUAGGAUUAGGCCAAAGCCUACAGCUUGGUACCACUCUUGCAGCAGAGCAGUUCCUACAUUACAGGACAAAAUCUACUGCCCAUCUGUACUGCAGCAGUCUCUCUUAAGGGGCCAAGAAGAGAAGACUGGAAUUAGAAAGGUGAAAUACAGUUUGGAACCUGUCUAGGUUCAGUUUACAAGUAUCUAUGAACAAAGUUGUGAAAAAAAACCAAAAACUAAUAAAGUUGAACAUGUAUUACGAAAGCAUAA